rnacentral:rRNA from 1 species
CCUACGGGAGGCAGCAGUGGGGAAUAUUGCACAAUGGGGGAAACCCUGAUGCAGCGACGCCGCGUGAGUGAAGAAGUAAUUCGUUAUGUAAAGCUCUAUCAGCAGGGAAGAAAAUGACGGUACCUGAGUAAGAAGCCCCGGCUAACUACGUGCCAGCAGCCGCGGUAAUAAGUAGGGGGCAAGCGUUAUCCGGAUUUACUGGGUGUAAAGGGAGCGUAGACGGCAGUGCAAGUCUGGAGUGAAAGGCGGGGGCUCAACCCCCGGACUGCUCUGGAAACUGGACGGCUGGAGUGCAGGAGAGGUAAGUGGAAUGCCUAGUGUAGCGGUGAAAUGCGUAGAUAUUAGGAGGAACACCAGUGGCGAAGGCGGCUUACUGGACUGUAACUGACGUUGAGGCUCGAAAGCGUGGGGAGCAAACAGGAUUAGAUACCCUAGUAGUC